rnacentral:rRNA from 1 species
GGUAAACGGCGGCCGUAACUAUAACGGUCCUAAGGUAGCGAAAUUCCUUGUCGGGUAAGUUCCGACCUGCACGAAUGGCGUAACGAUGGCCACACUGUCUCCUCCCGAGACUCAGCGAAGUUGAAGUGUUUGUGAUGAUGCAAUCUACCCGCGGCUAGACGGAAAGACCCCAUGAACCUUUACUGUAGCUUUGUAUUGGACUUUGAACAGAUCUGUGUAGGAUAGGUGGGAGGCUUUGAAGCGUGGACGCCAGUUCGCGUGGAGCCAACCUUGAAAUACCACCCUGGCAACUUUGAGGUUCUAACUCAGGUCCGUUAUCCGGAUCGAGGACAGUGUAUGGUGGGUAGUUUGACUGGGGCGGUCUCCUCCUAAAGAGUAACGGAGGAGUACGAAGGUGCGCUCAGACCGGUCGGAAAUCGGUCGUAGAGUAUAAAGGCAAAAGCGCGCUUGACUGCGAGACAGACACGUCGAGCAGGUACGAAAGUAGGUCAUAGUGAUCCGGUGGUUCUGUAUGGAAGGGCCAUCGCUCAACGGAUAAAAGGUACUCUGGGGAUAACAGGCUGAUACCGCCCAAGAGUUCAUAUCGACGGCGGUGUUUGGCACCUCGAUGUCGGCUCAUCUCAUCCUGGGGCUGUAGCCGGUCCCAAGGGUAUGGCUGUUCGCCAUUUAAAGAGGUACGUGAGCUGGGUUUAGAACGUCGUGAGACAGUUCGG